rnacentral:lncRNA from 1 species
AUAGGCCUCAUGCUCACUUUCUUUUCUGAAUUAUUUGACACUGAAUAUAGGAUCUCAUGUAUGCUAGCAGGUAUGUAUCUAGACACGAAUGCACACAUACACGCACACACUCAAUUUUUUUAUUUUUAAUUUUUAAUAUGAAAUAUCACUCACUUGCCUCAGCUGGAUUUGAGUUUGGGGUCCUUCUGCCUCACUCUCCACCUGAAUAUAUGGCAUUACAGUCCUGAGCUACCAGGUCUACCUUUUUCUUAAUAAUUUCCAACUUUGCUUCACAGUGAUUCAUUCGGAAGUUCUCUGUGUGCCUUAAGAGUCAGGCUAGUUCUGAAUGAGUUCUCAGGAGAGCAUCUUCAGGCUGCCAAUGAAGACUGGUCACAUUCCUGAGAACUGACUUUCUGCAAAGCCUCCCUCCCGGAGGGCCCAAAUUUAGGACACACGAAGUAAGAAGAGAUGCCUUCUCUGUUGUGCCUGUAAACAUAAGGAACACUAUGCAAAGUUCUGGAAAGAACGGGAAACACUUUUCUGUCAGAACAACAGCUCCAGGUGAAGAGACUGGAGCACAUGGAAGUUUGCAAGAGCAGAGGCAGAGACCUUCACCCUAUGUCUGUGGAUUCAAGAAGUUAUGCGGAACCUGGAUGUUUCCCGUCUAAGUUCCUCUUCCCAUCUUACCACCUGCACAGAAGAAGGAGAAAGGGUUGGGGCAGAGCAAAUAUAAGACUUCAGAACAUUGGGAGUUCAGAGCACAUAUACUUUAGGACAUGUCUAUAGACCAGGCUAUCACAAU